GUCACACAUCGGCUGUGAGUGACACACAUUCUGAAUAGGAUCACGAGCGUUAGAGUAUAUGGCGCUGCGGCAACUGAUAUUGCGAAUUCGAUUGCUAAUUCAAUUGAAGUCGUAAAACAAUAUCAACAGGAGAGAGCGCCACCUAGCACAAAUGGGGUCAUGUGCAUGUGCAGUUUGGCCAUC